rnacentral:sRNA from 1 species
UUUCCGUAGGUGAACCUGCGGAAGGAUCAUUGUCGAGACCGAAAUAUAAAUCGAGCGAUUCAGAGAACACGUGAAUCGAGCGACGGCCAUCGCCGUCGCGGGAUGACCGGCCCGGCCGUCGCCCGCGUCUCCUCCACGGGGAGAGCGGGGGAUGACGGCGGACGGAUGAAAAGACAAACCGGCGCAGCAUCGCGCCAAGGAAAAAUUGGAAGGCACCAGCCCCGUGCGGGGCUCGGUGGCAUGGGGUGUUGCUGCACGCCAUGCGGUUGGACACGACUCUCGGCAAUGGAUAUCUCGGCUCUCGCAUCGAUGAAGAGCGCAGCGAAAUGCGAUACGUGGUGCGAAUUGCAGAAUCCCGCGAACCAUCGAGUCUUUGAACGCAAGUUGCGCCCGAGGCCAGCAGGCCAAGGGCACGUCCGCCUGGGCGUCAAGCGUUGCGUCGCUCCGUGCCAACUACGACACCAUUUAUGGUGCGUCGUCCGAGGCUCGGAUGUGCAGAGUGGCUCGUCGCGCCCAGCGGUGCGUCGGGCUGAAGAGAGGGCAACGUCUCGUCGGCCGCGAACAACAAGGGGUGGGUGAAAGCUGUGAGCGCAGCCUGCGUUGUCUCGUGCUGGCCCGAGAGACGGAUUGCGCCUACGAGGUGAUCCCGGCCCACGCGCCGAUCCCCAUGCGGGGCGGCGGCUUGGAAUGCGACCCCAGGAUGGGCGAGGCCACCCGCUGAGUUUAA